GCGGGUGUGGCGGAACUGGCAGACGCGCAUGGUUCAGGUCCAUGUGAGCUUACGCUCAUGGGGGUUCAAGUCCCUUCACCCGCACCA
rnacentral:tRNA from 1 species